CAGAAACAGAAUGGACGGAGGGGUUUUCAGUGAGCUAGGACAAAAUGUUGGAUUUAAUCUGAGAAACAAGAAUUUUCCUUGCUUUGAGUUUAACAGCUCCUCAGAAGCUCCAGCCCACAUAACACGGUGCUGGUUUGUAAAAUAUCCCACAUUAACCAGCAUCUUGGUUUGUGAUAUCCCAGAAAUCUUAUUUCCAUUAGGCAUCUGAGGGAGUGAGAUUUGUUUUGAGGGAAGGAAAUCACUUCACUCAAAAAAGUCCUGGACAACUCAAGAGAAGCUGUGAUGGAGCUGCUAAAGAGAAUCCUCUCCGUUGAUCUCUUCUCGAACUUACUGGAGCAUGAAGUGCCUCGCUGCACCUGCUAAAGUCAUUAAUAACCUGUAGAUUAGUUCCACAUGUAAAAAUGCUCCGGUGCACAAUGUCAGGUUCCAUAAAGCAGAACGCCGGGCAAGAAACCAUGUGAGAAAGUGAAGUCAUAUUUAAAGGCUUUGGAUUAUGGUGCAUUUGAAAGCACGAAAGGUAUGGCCCAUUUUAAAACAUUGGAUGAGAAGAAACAUUUUGCAGGUGGUCACACACGUGUUUACGUGCAUGUUUACAUUUAUGUGAAACUAUUAGUGGCAGGCAUUUCUUUUAAUUCACUGAUGCAUUUUGAUUUGUGGUUGAUAAGGACAUACUCACAAAGGAAUCAUCUGCAUCUCUGACAUCAUAGCACUGUGGGAGGCAACCUAUAGCUUGACCCUGAACAGUUGUCAAUGUAUGAAUGCACAUGCACUCUAUUCGCAGGGGGAUGUUGGGUCUAACUGUGCAUGCUCAUGCAGGCCUCCUCACACACACUGGCUUUGCUCCAGCAGGAUGAAUCAUGGCCUGGUGUGUGGGUGUCUAAUGCGGAGUCAGCUCAACGGUACUGGGAAUAAAGUUUAGGGGCUAAAACCGCACCCAAACAAAUCUCUUGCAUCCACACCCUGAACCCCUUGACAUCGCACACAUAUGCAUAUUAAAUACUAAAUAUAUGGCACAGAUAUAAAAUUGCGUACAUAAACACAAUAAAUUUAAAAUACAUCA